AUUCCGAAAUUAUAAAGUCAAAAUAGAAAGGAAAAAAGGCCUAAUUGGAGGAGAGCAAGAAGAUGGGUUGCUUCGAUUGCUUCGAUGGAGGCAGCAAAAGAGAGCAUAGGAGAGAAGAAGAACAAUUAGCCUCCGAAGAAGCUCGUGCGAGAGCUGCCGAGGCCGCCCAAAAAAGGCAAGAACAAUAUGAAAAAUCUGCUGCAGGAAGAGCAGCACGUGCACAAAUGGCAGCUGCUGCCAAGCAAGCAACGAAUGCAAACCAAGGAGAACCAGUUCUUAAGUGGCAGAUGGGAUGAGCAUUAGCUCUCUUAGGUUAGCUUCUUCCGUUCAUUGUCUUUUGUUAUUUUGUGGUCAUCCUUCAGAUUCCUCACCAUUGUCUAUCUUUAAAUCAAACCAAUCACAGCCCCCCAACCUUUUCUUCCAAUGGAAGUGUUCCUGUGUCCAAGUUUUGGCGAAGACAUCUUAGGUGCUGAAGUUCUCCUUUGAGCUGAAGUUUGAUAUCCAACAAUCUGUUUGUGGUGAGGUGAGCAGUUGUAAAUAUGUUGCUCUUAUUUAAUUUAGUGUUUUCUCCAAUCUAUCUGUAAACUGAAAUGAGAAUAAAUCUGACAAUUUGUAUUUCCAAUCUUCGACCAGUCAAUUUACUCUUCCUGUCUCCAUU